rnacentral:rRNA from 1 species
AAGACCUUGCACUUUUGGAGCGGCCGAUGUCUGAUUAGCUAGUUGGUGGGGUAAUGGCCUACCAAAGCUUCGAUCAGUAGCUGGUCUGAGAGGACGGCCAGCCGCACUGGGACUGAGACACGGCCCAGACUCCUACGGGAGGCAGCAGUGGGGAAUUUUGGACAACGGGCGCAAGCCUGAUCCAGCCAUGCCGCGUGUGUGAAGAAGGCCUUCGGGUUGUAAAGCUCUUUCAGUCGGGAAGAAAAGGUUGCGACUAAUAAUCGCAAUUCAUGACGGUACCGGAAGAAGAAGCACCGGCUAACUACGUGCCAGCAGCCGCGGUAAUACGUAGGGUGCGAGCGUUAAUCGGAAUUACUGGGCGUAAAGGGUGCGCAGGCGGUUUUGUAAGUCAGAUGUGAAAUCCCCGGGCUUAACCUGGGAACU